rnacentral:tRNA from 2 species
GGGGCCGUGGGGUAGCUUGGCCAUCCUUCUAGCUUGGGGUGCUAGAGACUCCGAUUCAAAUUCGGACGGCCCCA